rnacentral:rRNA from 1 species
UACGUAGGGUGCAAGCGUUAAUCGGAAUUACUGGGCGUAAAGCGUGCGCAGGCGGUUGUGCAAGACAGAUGUGAAAUCCCCGGGCUCAACCUGGGAACUGCGUCCGAUACUGGAAGGCUUGAAUCCGGGAGAGGGAUGCGGAAUUCCAGGUGUAGCGGUGAAAUGCGUAGAUAUCUGGAGGAACACCGGUGGCGAAGGCGGCAUCCUGGACCGGUAUUGACGCUGAGGCGCGAAAGCCAGGGGAGCAAACGGG